CUACGGGUGGCUGCAGUGAGGAAUAUUGCACAAUGGGGGGAACCCUGAUGCAGCAACGCCGCGUGGAGGAUGACGCAUUUCGAUGUGUAAACUCCUUUUAUAUGUCAAGAAAAUGACGGUAGCAUAUGAAUAAGCACCGGCUAACUCCGUGCCAGCAGCCGCGGUAAUACGGAGGGGGCAAGCGUUACUCGGAAUCACUGGGCGUAAAGGAUGCGUAGGCGGGUUGGAAAGUCAGGUGUGAAAUCCUACAGCUUAACUGUAGAACUGCACUUGAAACUUCUAAUCUAGAGUAUGGGAGGGGGAGAUGGAAUUAGUGGUGUAGGGGUAAAAUCCGUAGAUAUCACUAGGAAUACCUAAAGCGAAGGCGAUCUCCUGGAACAUUACUGACGCUAAGGCGUGAAAGCGUGGGGAGCAAACAGGAUUAGAUACCCCCGUAGUC
rnacentral:rRNA from 1 species